UCAUCUUUGGACCUGCACGUCAACCACAUUACACUCAACAAAUUAGGCACAAUGAUGAAAUAGCAGUGACAGAGCACAGACAAUCGUAUGUGGUAUCUAUUCCAAUCUUUCUAUGAAAUGUUCAGGGUACAUGUACAGGUACAGUUAGAUGAGUGAAACUAAUAGUAGUCCAUCAUGUUGGUUUAUGGUUAUAAAAUUUGUGGACGUGGUGGAAAAGUACCAAAUAAAAAUAGCAAUGACUUGUGAAGAGAUUAAUUUUAGUGCAAAUCAGACAAGCUAGAUGCAGAUUAGUGUUGAGAAAGAAUGAAUUUCCAAGUAAGAUUGAUAGGCUCAUAUAAAUAGGUCAACACGUCUUCUGCAGAAAUUUCUGAACUCUGAAUCAACAUCAUGAUCUUUUUAACAAGUUUUAUAAUGCUCUUCAAGUUUAUCUUUUAGAUAUUCAGUAACUUUGUUCUUUGAGAUUGACACUGAUAUGCAUCCUUUUCAAGUGGAAGCCUCUCUUGCCUAUUUAUCAUAAAAAUUCUGUUAUUUAAUUUUUGUUAUAACAGGCAGAAAUUAAAAUUAUACAACCAUACUUCAAUAGAUAGGCGUUUCUCAUGUAAGAUUGUUACAAGGGUUUUGCAUGGCAGUAAGGGCUUUAGGAUAGAAGAUCUAUGGCUUUCCUUUUUGUCAUCAGGUCACGACAUGUAAAAGUAGAAUUUGGAAGAACAAAAUAAGCAAUGCACCCGCAAUUGUAGACACUGUUUUCUAAAUUCUUGAUAUGAUUUCAGUUCCUUACCACUCGUCAUCUACAAGGCAUUCCUUUAGUUGCAGGUACUCAGCUACUGUAAGCUCCUCUACUGAAAGAUCAUCAACUUUGACUCGGACAUACUCCCAGAUUCCAGGUUUUUGUCGUACAGCUAAGCCAAUAAAUGGUGGAACAAUAACAGCUUCCUAUACAUCAGUGAAUUUUGGAAUGAGACAACAGAUUCUUUUUAAUGUGCAUUCAGAUGGCAUACUACAAAAAUUAAGCCCAAAAAUGCACUGGGUUGAAUAUACCUGUAUGGACUGUAACAUCUGGCCAAGCGUGCCCUGUUGAAUCUUCUUCCUUUCAGCAGGGUCCUCUAUCAAAUCUGCAAGUUCAUUGUAUAACUGUUGUGGUUGCAUGAUCCUUUUGCCUUGAGAUGCAUACCUGUAGCACGUCAUUGUGACCCAUUAAGAAAAUUCAAUUACAUCUAGUUGUAUCA